CCUACGGGUGGCAGCAGUGAGGAAUAUUGGUCAAUGGGCGCAAGCCUGACCCAGCAACGCCGCGUGAAGGAAGAAGGCUUUCGGGUUGUAAACUUCUUUUAAGGGGGAAGAGAAGAAGACGGUAUCCAUUGAAUAAGCCACGGCUAACUACGUGCCAGCAGCCGCGGUUAUACGUAGGUGGAAAGUGUUGUCCGGUUUUACUGGGUGUAAAGGGCGUGCAGCCGGAGAGACAAGUCAGAUGUUAAAUCCACGGGCUCAACCCGUGAACUGCAUUUGAAACUGUUUCCCUGGAGUGUCGGAGAGGUAAGCGGAAUUCCUUGUGUAGCGGUGAAAUGCGUAGAUAUAAGGAAGAACACCAGUGGCGAAGGCGGAUUACUGGACGAUAACUGACGGUGAGGCGCGAAAGCGUGGGGAGCAAACAGGAUUAGAUACCCGAGUAGUC
rnacentral:rRNA from 1 species